rnacentral:rRNA from 1 species
GAAUUCACUAGUGAUUGUGGCAGGGGCGGCGGUAAUACGGAAGGUGCGAGCGUUGUCCGGAUUUAUUGGGUUUAAAGGGUGCGUAGGCGGCUGUUUAAGUCCGGGGUGAAAGCCCGUUGCUCAACAACGGAACGGCCCUGGAUACUGGAGAGCUGGAGUUUAGUGGAGGCUGGCGGAAUGGACGGAGUAGCGGUGAAAUGCAUAGAUACCGUCCAGAACCCCGAUUGCGCAGGCAGCUGGCCACGCUACAACUGACGCUGAGGCACGACAGCGUGGGGAGCGAACAGGAUUAGAUACCCUGGUAGUCCACGCCGUAAACGAUGGAUACUCGCUGCGGGCUAAAGCUUGUCCGUGGCUGAGCGAAAGCGUUAAGUAUCCCACCUGGGGAGUACGCCCGCAAGGGUGAAACUCAAAGGAAUUGACGGGGGCCCGCACAAGUGGUGGAGCAUGUGGUUUAAUUCGAUGAUACGCGAGGAACCUUACCGAGGCUAGAAUGCGCGCGACCGCCCCAGAGAUGGGGUUUGCCUUCGGGCCGCAAAGCAAGGUGCUGCAUGGCCGUCGUCAGCUCGUGCCGUGAGGUGUUGGGUUAAGUCCCGCAACGAGCGCAACCCCUAUGGUUAGUUGCCAGCACGUAAUGGUGGGGACUCUAGCCAGACUGCCUGCGCAAGCAGCGAGGAAGGCGGGGACGACGUCAGGUCAUCAUGGCCCUUACGCCUCGGGCGACACACGUGCUACAAUGGCCGGUACAGCGGGUAGCGACUGGGCGACCAGGAGCCAAUCUCUGUAAAGCCGGUCUCAGUUCGGAUUGGAGUCUGCAACUCGACUCCAUGAAGCUGGAAUCACUAGUAAUCGCGCAUCAGCCAUGGCGCGGUGAAUACGUUCCCGGGCCUUGUACACACCGCCCGUCAAGCCAUGAAAGUCGGGUAGACCUGAAGCCAGUGCUCGUCACAGAAGCUGGUUAGGGUAGAACCGGUAAUUAGGGCUAAGUCGUAACAAGGUAACCAAUCGAAUUCCCGCGGCCGCCAUGGCGGC